AUUGAACGCUGGCGGCAGGCCUAACACAUGCAAGUCGAACGAGUGGCGGACGGGUGAGUAAUGUCUGGGAAACUGCCUGAUGGAGGGGGAUAACUACUGGAAACGGUAGCUAAUACCGCAUACCAUCAGAUGUGCCCAGAUGGGAUUAGCUUGUUGGUGGGGUAACGGCUCACCAAGGCGACGAUCCCUAGCUGGUCUGAGAGGAUGACCAGGCAACCUGGAACUGGGAAGCGGUCCAGACUCCUACGGGAGGAAGCAGGGGGGAGUGUUGCACAAUGGGCACAAGCCUGAUGAAGCCAUGCCGCGUGUAUGAAGAAGGCCUUAGGGUUGUAAAGUACUUUCAGCGGGGAGGCGUUACCCGCAGAAGAAGCACAGGAUAACUCCGUGCCAGCAGCCGCGGUAUAC
rnacentral:rRNA from 1 species